rfam:Brucella abortus biovar 1 str. 9-941 chromosome I, complete sequence.
AUCUCAGUGCUGCGUUUCCUCCUCCCAUUUUGCGCAGGCUGAGUGUUCCCCUCUGGAGGUUUGCCUCAAUGGCACCUUCAAAAUUCAAAAGCCGGACGUUUGUCUGGCUUUUUUUU